rnacentral:rRNA from 1 species
AGCGAACGCUGGCGGCAGGCCUAACACAUGCAAGUCGAACGAAUCCUUCGGGAUUAGUGGCGGACGGGUGAGUAACACGUGGGAACGUACCCUUUGGUUCGGAACAACUCAGGGAAACUUGAGCUAAUACCGGAUGUGCCCUUCGGGGGAAAGAUUUAUCGCCAUUGGAGCGGCCCGCGUCUGAUUAGCUAGUUGGUGAGGUAACGGCCCACCAAGGCGACGAUCAGUAGCUGGUCUGAGAGGAUGAUCAGCCACACUGGGACUGAGACACGGCCCAGACUCCUACGGGAGGCAGCAGUGGGGAAUCUUGCGCAAUGGGCGAAAGCCUGACGCAGCCAUGCCGCGUGAAUGAUGAAGGUCUUAGGAUUGUAAAAUUCUUUCAGCGGGGACGAUAAUGACGGUACCCGCAGAAGAAGCUCCGGCUAACUUCGUG